AUUCCAGCUCCAAUAGCGUAUAUUAAAGUUGUUGCAGUUAAAAAGCUCGUAGUUGGAUUUGUGGUGGAUUGUGGUGUCCUCUUUUGGUCUCGCCACGAUCUGCCAUCCUUGGGUGGAACCUGCGUGGCAUUAGGUUGUCGUGUAGGGGAUGCCCACCAUUUACUGUGAAAAAAUCAGCGCGUUCAAAGCAGGCUUAUGCCGUUGAAUGUAUUAGCAUGGAAUAAUAAGAUAGGACCUUGGUACUAUUUUGUUGGUUUGUGCACCGAGGUAAUGAUUAAUAGGGACAGUUGGGGGUAUUCGUAUUCCAUUGUCAGAGGUGAAAUUCUUGGAUUUCUGGAAGACGAACUACUGCGAAAGCAUUUACCAAGGAUGUUUUC
rnacentral:rRNA from 1 species